rnacentral:rRNA from 1 species
GUUACAGCAGCCGCGGUAAUACGUAGGGGGCAAGCGUUGUCCGGAAUUAUUGGGCGUAAAGGGCGCGUAGGCGGAUGUUUAAGUCCGGUGUGAAAGAUCAGGGCUCAACCCUGAGAGUGCAUCGGAAACUGGGCAUCUUGAGGACAGGAGAGGAAAGUGGAAUUCCUAGUGUAGCGGUGAAAUGCGUAGAUAUUAGGAGGAACACCAGUGGCGAAGGCGACUUUCUGGACUGUAACUGACGCUGAGGCGCGAAAGCGUGGGGAGCAAACAGGAUUAGAUACCCCAGUAGUCC